rnacentral:rRNA from 1 species
UAAGUAAUAUUACGCAAUGGGCGAAAGCCUGACGCAGCGACGCCGCGUGGGGGAUGAAGGUCUUCGGAUUGUAAACCGCUUUGGUCCGAAAGAAAGGGUAAAACUUGAUCGAUCGGAGAAACAAGGACGGGCUAAGUUCGUGCCAGCAGCCGCGGUAAGACGAACCGUCCAAACGUUAUUCGGAAUCACUGGGCUUAAAGGGCGCGUAGGCGGCCGAGCGGGUCGUGGGUGAAAUCCUCCAGCUUAACUGGAGAACUGCUUACGAUACCACUGCGGCUCGAGGAAGGAAGGGGUCAUGGGAACUGUCGGUGGAGCGGUGAAAUGCGUUGAUAUCGAUAGGAACGCCUGUGGCGAAAGCGCAUGACUGGUCCUUUUCUGACGCUGAGGCGCGAAAGCCAGGGGAGCAAACGGGAUUAGAUACCCCAGUAGUCCCUGAGCGGGCUGGCAAGGCGCAU